AGACAGAGGGUGCAAGCGUUGUUCGGAAUUACUGGGCGUAAAGGGUGUGUAGGCGGUAGGGUGUGUCUGGCGUGAAAGACCUCGGCUUAACCGAGGAACGGCAUUGGAUACUACCCAACUAGAGUGCGAGAGGGGAUGGCGGAAUUCUUGGAGUAGAGGUGAAAUUCGUAGAUACCAAGAGGAAUACCUGAGGCGAAGGCGGCCAUCUGGAUCGUAACUGACGCUGAAACACGAAAGCGUGGGGAGCAAACAGGAUUAGAUACCCUGGUAGUCCACGCUGUAAACGAUGAUAACUAGGUGUUGGGGGAAUUGACCCCUUCAGCGCCGACGCUAACGCAUUAAGUUAUCCGCCUGGGGAGUACGGUCGCAAGACUAAA
rnacentral:rRNA from 1 species